rnacentral:rRNA from 1 species
AUUGAACGCUGGCGGCAUGCUUUACACAUGCAAGUCGAACGGCAGCGCGGGCUUCGGCCUGGCGGCGAGUGGCGAACGGGUGAGUAAUACAUCGGAACGUGCCCAGUAGUGGGGGAUAGCUCGGCGAAAGCCGGAUUAAUACCGCAUACGACCUGAGGGUGAAAGCGGGGGAUCUUCGGACCUCGCGCUAUUGGAGGGGCCGAUGGCAGAUUAGCUAGUUGGUGGGGUAAAGGCCUACCAAGGCGACGAUCUCUAGCUGGUCUGAGAGGACGACCAGCCACACGGGGACUGAGACAGGGCCCAGACUCCUACGGGAGGCAGCAGUGGGGAAUUUUGGACAAUGGGCGAAAGCCUGAUCCAGCAAUGCCGCGUGUGUGAUGAAGGCCUUCGGGUUGUAAAGCACUUUUGGCGGGAACGAAAAGGACUGUGCCAAUACCACGGUUCGAUGACGGUACCCGCAGAAUAAGCACCGGCUAACUACGUG